UACGGGGGAGCAAGCGUUGUUCGGAUUUACUGGGCGUAAAGGGCGCGUAGGCGGCCACCGCAAGUCGACUGUGAAAUCUCCGGGCUUAACCCGGAAAGGUCAGCCGAUACUGCGGGCUAGAGUGCAGAAGGGGCAACUGGAAUUCUCGGUGUAGCGGUGAAAUGCGUAGAUAUCCGGAGGAACACCGGUGGCGAAGGCGGCUCACUGGCCCGGUACUGACGCUGAGGUGCGAAAGCCGUGGGGAGCAAACAGG
rnacentral:rRNA from 1 species